rnacentral:lncRNA from 1 species
AAAGCUAGAACACNGAGUAGUCAGAGGAACGUUCUUGGGAGCUUUUUGUUUACUGUNUUCCCUUGCCUGGUCUUGUGAAAGGAGAGGCUUACGUAUCGUGUGCCGAUAGUCGAAGUGGACUCUCUUCAAGUUGGCAGGGCUCUCUACCUGGUCUUGUGUAAGGAGAAGCACGUGAAUCGUGUGUCGAUUGCCGGUGCAGGUUCUCUUCAAGUUGGUAGAGUGGUUUCCUUCAUUCUAUUUCUGUACCUAU